rnacentral:rRNA from 1 species
AGAGUUUGAUCAUGGCUCAGAACGAACGCUGGCGGCAGGCCUAACACAUGCAAGUCGAGCGCCCGCAAGGGAGCGGCAGACGGGUGAGUAACGCGUGGGAACGUGCCCUUUGGUUCGGAAUAUUCCCGGGAAACUGGGAGCAAAACCGGAUAAGCCCUUCGGGGGAAAGUUUACGCCAAAGGAUCGGCCCGCGUUAGAUUAGGUAGUUGGUGGGGUAACGGCCUACCAAGCCUACGAUCUAUAGCUGAUCUGAGAGGAUGAUCAGCCACACUGGGACUGAGACACGGCCCAGACUCCUACGGGAGGCAGCAGUGGGGAAUCUUGGACAAUGGGCGCAAGCCUGAUCCAGCCAUGCCGCGUGGAUGACUGAAGGCCCUAGGGUUGUAAAGUCCUUUCGACGGGGACGAUAAUGACGGUACCCGUAGAAGAAGCCCCGGCUAACUUCGUGCCAGCAGCCGCGGUAAUACGAAGGGGGCUAGCGUUGUUCGGAUUUACUGGGCGUAAAGGGCGCGUAGGCGGAUUUUUAAGUCGGGGGUGAAAUCCCGGAGCUCAACUCCGGAACUGCCUUCGAUACUGGAAGUCUGGAGCACGGUAGAGGUGAGUGGAAUUCCGAGUGUAGAGGUGAAAUCCGUAGAUAUUCGGAGGAACACCAGUGGCGAAGGCGGCUCACUGGACCGUUGCUGACGCUGAGGCGCGAAAGCGUGGGGAGCAAACAGGAUUAGAUACCCCGGUAGU